GAUGAACGCUGGCGGCGUGCUUAACACAUGCAAGUCGAACGAAGCACUUUAUUUGAUUUCCUUCGGGACUGAUUAUUUUGUGACUGAGUGGCGGACGGGUGAGUAACGCGUGGGUAACCUGCCUUGUACAGGGGGAUAACAGUUGGAAACGGCUGCUAAUACCGCAUAAGCGCACAGCAUCGCAUGAUGCAGUGUGAAAAACUCCGGUGGUAUAAGAUGUACCCGCGUUGGAUUAGCUAGUUGGUGAGGUAACGGCCCACCAAGGCGACGAUCCAUAGCCGAGCUGAGAGGCUGAGCGGAAACAUUGGGACUGAGAAACAGCACAAACUCCUACGGGAGGCAGCAGUGGGGAAUAGUGCAAAAUGGGCGAAAGGCUGAAGCAGCGACGACGCGUGAGCGAAGAAGUAUGUCGGGAUGGAAAGCUAGAUCAGCAGGGAAGAUAAUGACGGUACCUGACGAAGAAGCACCGGCUAAAUACGUG
rnacentral:rRNA from 1 species